AAGGGGCGGGAAGAGGGACAAGAUUGGUUACGACACCAAAAGCUGCGCAAGCGCAAUAGGGCUGCGUGCUGUGCGCAGGCGCAGUCGUUCUCUUCCACCGCCCUGAGAAACGCAAUAAACCAGCCUUCCCCCUCCCCCUAUCGUGAUGUACUGGGGUCUUGGUGGUGACUCCUCCCAUUGUCUGGUGGUGAGGGAGGGACAUAUGCUGCUGAGAUGGCAGAUGUUGAGACCUGUGAAAAUUUUGCUCAUCCAGUCAGCACUUACCAAAACAAAGAUCUUCGGCUGAGCAGAGUGAACCCAUUCUACCCAGGAAUAGUAGGGGCAGACAGAAAAGGACACUGGAAUACCUGGUCAUUGGGAUCAACAGAAGGAGCCAGGAGCAGUUUCCCUUUAUGAGGGAAAGGGAAAAACAGGAUACUGAGUAGGAGGAACAGGCUAUGCAGCAGGAGGAAAAUUUUUUUCAAAGACAAGCAGUAUUAGUUAUCUGGUUCCUGUAGCAGUACGCACAGAGCUUGCCCAAAGGGACUGGGAGUAUGCCCUGUUGCAAUCCCUGGUACAAGUGAUAGAGGAACGGAAUCGGGUUCUGCCUGCACAAUAGCUGCUCCCAUAACUGGGAACUGGCACCUUCUUCUCCAGCUACUCCUCCUCCUACUGCAUCUACAGCCCACCAAGAUGCUGAAACAGAGGACCCACCCCAUCCACCACGACAGUCCCAGUCUCUUCAGCACCUUGGCAUCAUUAACCUUUCUUGUGUGUCCAGUGUUAGUGUUCAUAAAUCUGACUUUGUGGUCCACUAUGCCUUGAAGAAUGAGUGAAGAGUAACCUUUUUGAUUGAUGCACUCACUUGUGCCUUUUGGUGGGCAAAAUAGAGGGAUGUAGGUGCCAUUGAUGCCCCCCCACAUACACACAGAGUUUGGAAACCCCAUUCUCUGGAACCCAGCGAUAAUUUUUGGUACUUCGGUGAUGGAGACUACCCAAGCAUAGAUGAGUGUUGAAACUUGCACCAGCCUCAACAGUGGACUUCCUCACUCUGAAGUGGUUUGCAACUGACCAGUAGCUGUCUGAUAUUGCCAGCUCCCAGAGGGCAAUAGCCACCCACUUCUGUGCUGGUAUGGGUCUUCAGAAAUGAGUACUCUGCUGCAGUAAGAUUGAGUCCAGCUCCUCACAGAGCUCUAUGAAGGUCUGCUUUCUCAUUCUGAAGUUCUGCAGCCACUGGUCCUCCUGCCAGCUUUCCAAGAUGAUAUGAUCCCACCACACUGUGCUGGUUCUCCUGGUCCAGAAGUGAUGGUCCACCCAUGGACAUACAGUCACAGCACAAGUAGUGUCCUGUGUCUUGGAGUAACAGUGGAUCAGUCACCGUCUCGGUCAUCCGUUUUCAGCUUUUGAGAAGGGUCCAAGUUCAUUCACCUAAGAUUCUUGCUGGUUGUAUCUCUCACACACACAUACACACACUCUCUCUCUUUCCCCCCUCCCCCACCACAGGAGCAGAACUGCCUCAUCAGUCACUUGUUCUAUGUCUUCAACCAAGUUGGGCAGGAGAGAAGGGUGAGCAGGAGGGUCAUCAAAUGUGCGAAGCUGUCUACAGUACCUCCCACACACAGCAAGGUAAAUCCAAGAUCCUCUUCUCCGAUGCACAGAACACUGAGAUACCGACCCUGAAACACUAGAGCUAACCUCACGCACCAAAAAAAGUUAGUGUGGGUGGGGAUGUACCCAGGUACCUACAGAGUGUGUACCUGUGUCCAGCACAGUAUAUGUGGACACUCAGCACAGGCAUGGGUAUAUGUGCAAGCAUACAUACUGCCUUGUAUCCCUAUCCAGGCACCAGUGUAGAUGUAGCCUCUGAGUACUUCUAGAGUCACACAGUGCCGACACCUCUGAAAUACCAAUGUAAAUUUUGUUACAUUACUAUACAUAGUGGGGAAUUACACAUGUGGACGGAAGUAAUUAAAUAUGUAGUUUAGCAUCUUUUAAAUAAGUAUUCUGUGAGUUAAUAAUUGUGCCUUACCAAAUGUAUUAGCCCAGUCUUUGGCUGUGGCUGAGAAGCAGACAAUACAACUCAGAAGUGGAGCUGUAAGACACUCUUGUGCUCCAUGUUUCUGAGCCAGCUAUACCCCAGACCGGUCCCCUGGCAUAAUUUAGAGUAGCCUUCAGACUGUUCUAAUUUAAGAUGACUGCCAAAGGCCCCAAAAAUACAUAAUAGAAGACAGAGAUUGCUGGGAUUCCAGGAAAACGUGGCCAUGUCCCCUUCCUGUUAGCCACAUCCAACACCCACCACUCCAAAUGCAAUGGGUUGCACAGGAGUCAUUAAACUGACUGUGCCUAGAGUGGAAUGAUCUGUCCAUAAGUAGCCACUGGUGAUUUCCUUGCCAGCAUGGUACAAAGCAACCUUGGUACAGGUGAGGACUGGGGCUAUUGAAUUUGUGUGUGUACUAACAAAGGUAAGGUUGCUAUCUUUUUAAUUGCAUGUAUGUAUUCAAACAUUAUGUGUGAAACAUUAAGUCAUUUUAUUAAAGAUGGAUAAAGAAUUUUAA